GAGUUAUUUCUUUUAUUUUAUUUUUAGUUUUAUCAACAAAUUUACUUAACAAAGCACUAUAUUAAUAUUUUCAAAUAUUAUUAUUGCACGGUUAUUUAUGUUAAUAAGAAGUUGUAUUAUAUAUUUGAAAGUAGUUAAUCCUAGUCCAAACUAUUAAGAUGAAGAUGUCCAAACAAAUUAAUUAAAGGAGGAAAAGGUCCAUAAAUAGUAGCCCAAAUAGGCCCAAACCCGCCAGGUCCUUGAACAGACCAAACUACCCCUUCUUCAACCACCCCAAAUGACCAAACUACCCUUAAAUGGAUAUAAACAACUAGGUUUUCAAUUUUCCUCAGCAGCCACAUAGUCACUCCUCUUCCUCCCUUCCAUUUUCAGCAAAAUAACAAAGCUCCAUCAACCAUGGACAGAAGUUGCCCACUCUAUUUUCAUGCUAUGGUUUUGUCUCUACCUUUCUUUGCUCGUCUCAGUCACGUGAAGGUUGUCAAGACCAUCCUAAACUCCUAAAACGUUCGAAUUUCAAACAAGUUUUGACUAGAUUUCAAAACUUCUAGUCUCACUAUCCCGCCUAAAACUCUAACCUGAUUUUCUUCUAUAAAUACUAAUCUAAAUACUCAGGAGAAGGAGGAAUUUUUUUUGGAACAUCUUGAAAUACCACCACACUAAAUACCAUUUGCUCAUUUUUAACUCUAAAGAAUCUUUAAUUUCUAGAAUUGCUCUUUCUAUCUCGGUUAAUCUUUAGCUGUGAUGGAGAUUUAGAACUCAUUCGUGUCGAGGUUUCGAUUUGAGAGAGUAUAUUCAAGGCCACCGACUUCCACGUUCACUGCACCACAAACAGGUAAAUCUGAUUCUAUUUUGUUCAUUUACACCCUCCGUGUCUAGUGUCUUUGCUUAUUUAGAAAAAUCCAUGUUCAUGAUUUUAUUUUUGUGUGUUCUGAUAAUGAAUGUUUAAAGCAUGAGUAUGAUUCUGCUUUGGUUAAGUUAAUUCGUUUUUCUUCUGCUACAUGCCACACUUAAAUCUUCUUGAAAUCCUAUUUCUUGUUUCUUUCAUUUACUACGUGGAUAAGCAUAAAUGUUAGGAUGGCAUAGAAGAUUUAUUUUGAUGGGUUAUUUUUUAUUCAUCCCUUUAAUCACAUGUAUGAAGGUUUAAUAAAAUGUUACUGUCUUGGUUCACAUUUCUAUAUGUUACUGUCUCGAUUUAUAUUUCCGUACGGUAGAAGUAUGUUCUUAGGUUUCUGUUCAAAGCUUUAGUUAAUAGUCAUGAUACUUUUCUUAUGAACUUGACUGGACAUUAUUAUACUAGUAGUAAUGGCUAAUCUUUUAAUCAACACCAAAAAUGAUCCAUGACCUCCCUGCUCGUGUAGUUCAUACUGUCUUGAUGCAUUAUGGCCUGAGUCGUAGUUGGUGAUGUUAAUUAAUCUAUCUCGUUAUGUCCGUAAUUCAAAUAGUUAACACCACACACGCUUUCAAGAAUAUCUGAGCAAUAAAGGACUAGUUUGCUGCUUAUAAAAAAUCUUGUUGCUAACUAAUGUAUUAGUGAUGAUAGUUACUCUCUAUUACUCUUUUUCAUAAAAAAAUCACAUCUCUUUUUCUAACCACAAUGCUUUUAUUAUUUUGCAUGAUAUACCGGAGCCGAAGAGUUUCAUUUUGACACUCAACGACACCGCCAUUUCAAGGAGUCUGCACAUCCUCGCUCUUCCUCGCCUUUGCACUGCUUGAACAUCGAAUUACAUAAGAGAUUUUGUCCUUCUGUUGAAGUCGGACAUGGGCAGAUAUCCAACAUCCAUUGCACCCCGAGGUUUAGUGCUUUAUGGUGAGUGGACUAUCAAUGAUGACUCUUUGAGGGACUAUUUGAGGGCACCGGAAGAAUAGGAGGUUAAUCACCAUCAAUGUUCUUGAAAUGUAUGCUGAAAGAAUACCUCACAGUUGUCAGGAAGUCCCUCAAGUCCCGCCUACUUAUGGUAACACUUAUACGGACUUGAGUUCUUAUGGAGGCAUUUUGAGUGGCCAAGUGCCGCUGGCAACUCUAAGCUAGCAAUUCAAUCCUGGUACUGUUGUAGAGUGGAAGCUCGUUGCCAGUAAUAUUUUCAAUUUUGUGUUUUUGACAUUCAAACCAUGCAUUGAUGGUUUUGCUCAUUGCCAGCCAGUCAUAUCGACAGAUGGCACGCAUAUGCAUGAGGUAUACGAUAUUAAGCUACUGAUUGCAGUAGAGAUAGAUGCCAAUGGGUCGUUAAGGAGUUUGGCCAUGAUAAGCGUUUGUGUAACCAACAGUUCUGUGGUGGUGCAAGUACCUCUCGUAGUGGAAGAGCCUCUCGGGGUUGAAGAUUGUCUUGAAUUAUGAAUGUAUUUUUAUCCUUCUUGAUGUAUUGGAAUUGCCUUGAAUUAUCAAUAUAUUUUAAUUCUUCUUGAUGUA